GCAAGUCGAGCGGACCUUCGGGUCAGCGGCGGACGGGUGAGGAACACGUGAGUGAUCUAUCGAUGAGUGGGGGAUAUCGGGCCGAAAGGCGCGGCAAUCCCGCAUACGUUCCUACGGGAAGAAAGCUGGGCAACUGGCGCUCAUCGCGGAGCUCGCGGCCCAUUAGCUAGUUGGGGGGGUAACGGCCUACCAAGGCGACGAUCGGUAGCUGGUCUGAGAGGACGAUCAGCCACACUGGGACUGAGACACGGCCCAGACUCCUACGGGAGGCAGCAGUGGGGAAUUUUUCGCAAUGGGGGCAACCCUGACGAAGCAAUGCCGCGUGGAUGAAGAAGGUCUUCGGGUUGUAAAGUCCUUUCGUGGGGGACGAAAAGGCGGAUCCGAAUACGGUCUGCUGUUGACGUGAACCCAAGAAGAAGCACCGGCUAACUCCGUGCCAGCAGCCGCGGUAAUACGGAGGGUGCGAGCGUUAAUCGGAAUUACUGGGCGUAAAGGGCGCGUAGGCGGUGGGUUACGUCCGCCGUGAAAUCCCCGGGCUCAACCUGGGAAUGGCGGUGGAAACGGGCUGACUGGAGUAUGGGAGAGGGUGAUGGAAUUCCAGGUGUAGCGGUGAAAUGCGUA
rnacentral:rRNA from 1 species